rnacentral:tRNA from 1 species
GCCUGAGAGAUAUAGCUCAGUUGGCUAGAGUACUGCACUGAAAUAGUAGAGCCGCAGGUUUGAUUCUUGCCAGACA